CAGACUGUAGACGGAUGAAAUGGUGCCGCUGAGCCGUGUGUUACGUGAUCGCAGUGCGCAGAACAGCGCCGCCGCGCGGUCAGACUGAGAACAGCGAGCAGCUUCAGGUGAUGCUGUAAUACAGAGAGAAAAAAAAAGAUGUGGCCAUGCGACGACUGAAGCUGGAAAUAUCGCUUUCUUGUUUGGAGGAGCUUCCAGCGUGAUCACAGAGUUUCACCUGAUCAAGUUACAUGCGAGCUGAUGCCUCAGAAAGAAGGACACACUUUAUGGAUAUUUACUUCGGAGGAACCAUCACUAAUCCAGAUGGAGUGAUGUCAUCAACAAAUGAAAUUCACAAAUUAUGCAUCUGUGUGUGUGUGUGUGUGUGUGUGUGUAAUGUUGGUUGGUUUUACAUACAGUACCUUUCAAACGCUUAGACUCUCGACUGUUUCUGAUCAUCACAAAAAAUCUAAAGGCUUUUGCUUAAAUGACUGACAUUUAUAUGAUCAUUUUUAAAAGGAGAAGAUAUUGAACGGAAGCAUCAUAAAUGCUCAUGUUCCUCCUUCAAUAGUGUUUAAAGCAUCCCAUGAUGCACCUCGUGAAGUUGAAUGAGCAGAGCUGGAAUAUAGACAAAGUAAAAGUUCAUUUUUAUUUUUGUCACAUUUUAAUCACAGAUUUAUUCCCAGACUAACGUUUGUGUGAUUACAGCGUUUCCAGCACUUUACUAUGGAAGCCCAUUUCCACUAGGGAUAAAAAAAAAAUUAAAAAUAAUUGUGACUGUAAUUGUGUAAUUGUAAUUGUGACUGUUUUUA